UGGGAUUCAGGGAGUUCCAUGACUUGGGGCCCUGUUGUAAGUUCCAGCUAAACUGAUUUUGUCUCAUAGGCCCAGAUCCUGGUUCCUAAAAACAAAGCUGCUCUUGUGAGGUAAAAAGAAAACUCAUCUGGAGGAUGGCCCACCUGAAUGGAGACCUCUCACCAGAGCUUUGGAGCAGAGGAGGACAAGGCUGAGAAAGAGCAGAGCCUAGAUUUGCACGGCUAGAAACAAGCACUCCACCUUUCUAGUUCUCUAAGUGUUUCCUAGAGCAGCAGAAUAUGAACACAUCUCAGGAAAAGCCAGAGAUCAGCAUCUUGGUAGAACUUUACUCCACUACUUAACUUUACUCCACUACUUAAUAUUCGCGGUCAGCAGUGACCUCUAGUGGUGAAGUGUCGAUCUUCAUAUCACAUGACCUAGCCACAUUUGACACCGUGGAUUACAGUUGGAGUCUACUCUGUCACCCAGAUUGGAGUGCAGUG